rnacentral:lncRNA from 1 species
AAGAAGAUGGAGAGCACCACCCCACGCCCCAUCAUGUCUGCACUUUAAGAAACGUAUCCGUUUGCGUGCGACCAAGAGUAUCAACUUCUGUUCUUGUUUUGUUUGCUCGUGUGAGAUAGAGUUGGUGUUGUUGUUUAAUCCAAGGGUACACAUACCCUCUUUGUUUAUAAGUUAGAGCAGCCGUGGGUUUCUCCACAGCGCGUACCAAUUAUGUGCUGCGGUUAGACAAGGCUCGUAUGAUUUGUAACUAGCAAUUAUAUACGUUUUAUAGUGAUAUAAAAUCUCGUAAAGUUGAGGACUUUCCCAACUACCGCUGCUACUGCAAC